GGCACCUCCGGCAAGGCGGCGGGCUACCAGGCCGCAGAGAACGGCGCACUGAAUUGCUUAUUUUUCCUUGCUGUGUGAUCUUCAGUUCUUCAUGAUGUUAUAGAGAUAUUUAUGUCAAAUCUACAGCUUGGGAUCCUCUCGUUCCUAUGCAGAAGCUGGAUAGAUUCCUGCUUUAACAUGUGCAUCUGUUAUUUGAUUAACAUAAUGUCAUUCGGUCUCGUACUAUUACCAUGUCAUAACUCAUAAAUACUGGUUAGGUUAAAAGGACCGUCUUUGCAGCUGAGGCUUAGCAAUCUAUAUAAAAUAUUUAAUUAUUUAUUCCAAACUGUUAUUAGCAUGGCUAUUGAUACUUUUGUCAUCCCACUUCCAUAUAAAAGGAGAAUCAUGAGAAGAGAACAUGUUGUGUGCCCCUAGUUUUAAUUUUCCUAUAUUAUAUUUAAGCAUUCAAUAUCUUCCUAUAUUGAAGUUGUUAUUUUACACUAAAUAUUUUCUGUAACAAAAAUGUAGCCGAAGAGGGUCUCGGAAGAGGGAACUACUCCACUGACCGAAGCACUUCAUGGCACCAGUUCAGGACUACCUGAAUGUACUACACUGGAGCGUGUCAAAGCUGCUUGUGGAGGUCUCGUAACUGUCCACCUUGACUUCAUGUUAAUACAUAUAGUUUUCUUGUAUGAAUUGCAUAGUCCAUAAGUUUUUGGUUUGACAUGAUCCAUAUCUACAUGCAUGCACAUAUGUAAAUUCUGCUAAUAGCAAAACUCCGUUGGUAAUAGCAUGGCUUAAUUAACUGACUGCGUCAAGUACCGUUGGAAGCCUGCUGCAUAGGUGGAGCUGCGUUGGUAAUAGCAAAACUCGGUUUGAAGCUUGUUGGCUGGUAUCUGGCAAGGCGGCGGACUUUAAUCUAUGUGAGAGUAUUAUGGACACGCCACAUGUUUUGGCUUUAACUCAAGGACCACAUUGCUUCUUGACUUUCUUGGAUGCUUGUUGGCUGCCCAAUCUUGAACUAUAUCUUUCUAAUAGUAGUAUAAAUCAGGCACAUACAUUUUUUUGUGUUGCUUACUAGAGUUAGUGUAUUUACUAAGUGUGUUUAGUCGAAUCAUCUGUCAUCCUUCUCUUAACUCACUUUUCCUCAUGAUAUUCAGUCCAUCGGGUUUUCGACUACUGUAUGUGUAUGCGUGCAGAUUUUCAGCACCUUAUCCUUGCUCGGUUCCCACGUGUGUUAGAUAUUUGUUCGGUUAUAUGCCAUCGAUCUGUAUUUUGUGCACCACACAGUCUUGUCUGUAGAAGUUAAUCAUGUUGUUUCUUUAGGAUUAGGAAAGAAAGCUAAACCGAGUCCUAGUAGUAUUAGGAUUCCUAGUCCUAGUCUAUUUCCAUAGUCCCUUGUGAACGCGUAUAAAAGACACCCUAGGGGUGUUGAUUGUAACACCAAAAAAACGAAAAGCAAUACAAAGCAAAGGCUCGACACGGGCCUUUAGCCAUCAAAUCCAUCGAUCAGUUUUAUUCGUGUCGCUAGUUACGCAAGUUCCGUCAAGUAGCCGGCCGAAGCAAGAAUCGCGUAGGCACGCCUGUACAGCUGCAUACGCACGUUCAAAAGCCAACAAUUGGUAUCAGAGCCUCGACGAUCUACGAUCUACGAUGACGGACAGCGACGCUGAGUCGGUUGAGUCCGGCAGCGGCGGUGCCAAGGCGAACAAGAACGGCGACAAGGUGAAGAAGGGCGUCAAGUCAGCAACCAGUGGUGGAGGAACGAGCGGCGCCAACGUCCAGGCGCAUCGCAACAUCCCCAUCCAGUACCCGAUGCUCACCGACGCCAACUACGUGUGUGGGCGGUGAAGAUGAAAAUUAUUCUCCGAACCCUUCGAGUGUUGCAGGCAAUCACGGACGACGACGUCGAUGACGAGUCCGACGAAGGUGCCAUGGCCGCCAUAGCCCAGUCCGUGCCGGAUUCCGUACUAAUGACAUUGGCGGAGUUCGAGACGGCAAGAGAGGCGUGGAACGCACUCAAGGAGAUGAGGAUCGAAGAAGAUCGCGUCACCAAGGCUCGGGCACAAGUGCUGAAGCGCCAAUUUCACAAGUUGCAAAUGAAGGAAACUGAAUCGGUGAACGACUAUGCCAUGCGUCUUACUACUUUGGUGGGAGAGAUCCGCGCGCUUGGUGCAAAGCUCGAUGAGACCGAGAUUGUGGAGAAAUUUUUCAGUUCGGUGACUGAUAAAUUCGCAUACAUCAUCGGCACGCUCGAGCAGCUUUACGACAUCGACGACAUGACCAUAACGGAGGCAAUCGGACGCUUGCGGACAUGGGAAGAGAAUGCUCGUGGCUGUCGGAAAGGCAAAGGAGGAGGUAGCGACCAACUCAUGUACUCGUGCGGAGAUUGGGAGGCCCCAAGUAGCAAAGGAAGGCGUGAUGGUGGCGAAGGCUCAAGCAACGUGAAGCGGACCAAUCUAAAGGAAAAGGCAAAGGAAAAGGCAAGCCACAAGGCCGUGCUAAGGCGGACCAAUCUAAAGGGCGGAAGCCACGGAACUUGGAUUUAUCCGAGGUUAAGUGCUAUAACUGCAACGAGAUGGGUCAUUUUGCAAAGGAUUGUCCGAAGCCUAACAAGCGGGAGAUCAAGGCAAAUUUGGCAAAGCAGGAAGACGAAGGCCCAGGUCUUCUGAUGGCCGAAGUUUGUGAUCUCGCUAAAACGGUGGUUGUGAAACCAACCCGGAAGGUGCUACUUCAUGAGAAGAAUGUGACACCUAAGUUAUCCGGGGAUCACAAUGGGUCGUGGUAUCUCGACACGGGUGCCAGUAACCACAUGACGGGAUGCAAGGAGAAAUUCCUCGAGCUGGAAUGCGAUGUUGAAGGCUCGGUCAAGUUCGGUGAUGGUUCAGCUGUGGAGAUUUGCGGGCAAGGAUCUGUCCUCUUCGAGGGUCUCACAGGCGAACAUCGCAUACUCACCGGAGUGUACUACAUCCCACGGCUUCGCAACAACAUUAUCUCUAUUGGGAAGCUUGACGAGAAUGGAUGCAAGGUCAAUAUCGAGAACGGAGUGAUGACGAUCUUCGACAACCUCCGAAACGUGCUAGCUCGUGUUAAUCGCACACGGAAUAGGCUCUAUAUCCUCAACCUUGAUCAAUCUCAACCGGAGUGUUGGCUCGUCAGGAGUGAUGAUGAUUCAUGGUUAUGGCAUGCUAGAUUUGGACACGUUAACUUCUAUGCCUUGAAGAAGAUGUCAAAGAUGGAGAUGGUAUCCGGGAUGCCAGUUAUCGACCAUGUUGAUCGAGUAUGUGACAGGUGCUUGGUUGGAAAACAGCACCGCAGGCCAUUCCCUGCUCAGUCUACCUAUCGUGCAAGUGAUGCACUCGAGCUGCUCCAUGGUGAUCUAUGUGGCCCUAUCACCCCGACAACUCACGCUGGAAAGAAGUAUUUCUUCCUUGUGGUAGACGACUACUCGAGAUAUAUGUGGGUCAUUCUCCUACAAUCUAAAGAUGAGACGUUUGACGCGUUCAAGAAGUUGAAGGCUGCAACAGAGAUGGAACACAAUUUGAAGGUUCGCGCUCUAUGGACAGAUCGCGGCGGAGAAUUUACGUCGAAUGAGUUCAACGACUACUGCGGGAAGAUUGGCAUAAAGAGGUUCCUCACGGCACCUUACACGCCGCAGUAGAAUGGGGUCGUUGAAAGGCGCAAUCGAACCGUCGUUGACAUGGCAAGGAGUUUACUCAAGAGCAAGAACCUGUCGGGGACUUUUUGGGGAGAAGCUGUCUCGACGGCGGUCUAUCUUCUCAACCGGGCUCCAACGAAGGCGGUGAUCGGCAAGACUCCGUAUGAAGCAAUUUACGGACGUAAGCCGAAUGUGUCUCAUCUACGGACAUUCGGGUGCGUGGCACAUGUGAAGACGGCGGAGCCACAUCUCUCAAAGCUUGCCGAUCGUAGCACCAAGAUGGUGUUCAUCGGAUACGAGAGCAGUUCUGGCACCAAGGCAUACCGUUUCUACGAUCCACAAACCAAGCGUCUACGGAUUUCACGCGACGUCGUGUUUGAAGAAAACCAAGCGUGGAAUUGGACCGCCGCAGCCGACAAUGCUCCAAACAGUAACAUAUUCACGGUUGAAUUUCCAAUUAAUGAUGAUGCAGGGGAGGAUGUCCAAGUGGUUGAUAAGACGCCCAACCAAGGUUACCACAAUGGUAGUGAUCAUCAUGGUGCCGACACCGACGACGACGUGCAUAGGUCGCAAGGAGAUAGCGACAACGAAGCGCACGGCACGGGUGGAGAUCUCGACGACAACAUCGACAAGGAGGCGCAUAGUGACGAUGACAAUCAAGAUGAUGAUCAUGAUCACGACGACUACGCCGACGCCGCGGAUGUCGAUGACACGCCCGAGACUCAGCCAUCUUCCUCAAGUGCAUCAACAUCGACACAAUUUGUGUCACCUCCUUCGCAAUCCACAACGGAAUCCUCAGGGCCUCGUCGCUACAAAGACCCUCAAGAAAGUCUACAAGUACACAAAGCCAGUUACGCUCGAAUACUCCAGACUAUGUCUUUUCGGAGUUGAGGAGCCGACGAACUUCGUAGAGGCGAGCAAAAGUCCUAGCUGGACGCACGCCAUGGAUGAGGAGAUGAAGGCGAUUGAGAGCAAUGGCACGUGGACUUUGGUAACCCGACCUCCAAACCAAAAGAUGAUAGGUUUGAAGUGGGUUUACAAGUUAAAGAAGGACACGGAGGGUGCCAUUGUGAAGUACAAGGCAAGACUCGUUGCAAAGGGCUACGUACAACGUCAAGGAGUUGACUAUGAUGAGGUGUUUGCACCGGUUGCUCGACUCGAGACGGUGAGAGUGCUCCUAGAUUUGGCAGCACAAGAGGAUUGGAAGGUUCAUCAUAUGGAUGUUAAAUCCGCUUUCCUUAACGGCGAUCUCACAGAAGAAGUGUACGUGGAACAACCCCUCGGCUACGAGAAGAAAGGCGAAGAAGGGAAAGUUUACAAGCUCAAGAAGGCACUUUACGGGUUGAAGCAAGCGCCAAGAGCUUGGAACUCAAAGUUAGACCAAAGUCUGGUCUCGCUCGGGUUCAAGAGAUGUCCCCUCGAGCACGCAGUCUAUACAAAGAACUCCAAAGGCUCAAUGCUAGUUGGAGUUUAUGUCGACGAUCUGAUUAUCACUGUAGAUAGCGUACAAGAAAUUGAAGGUUUCAAGGCGCAAAUGAAGAACAAGUUUAGCAUGAGUGAUCUGGGAUUGCUCAGCUAUUACUUGGGCAUCGAAGUGAAGCAAACCUCCGGAGAAAUUUCCCUAUGUCAAUCGGCUUACGCGGUCAAGUUAUUGGACAAGUGUGGCAUGUCAGAUUGCUACGCGACACAAGUUCCAAUGGACCAACGUCACAAGUUGAGCAAGCGUAGCUCAAAUCCGCCGGUGGACACCACAAUGUAUCGAAGCAUUGUGGGCAGCCUAAGAUAUUUGGUGCAUACCCGACCUGACUUGGCUUAUUCAGUCGGGAUCGUGAGUCGUUUCAUGGAGAAUCCGACAACCGAGCACAUGAGCGCGGUCAAUCAAAUCUUGCACUAUGUGAAAGGCACCAUUAAUCUUUGUUGCACGUACAGAAAGGGAAAGGAAGGAUUGAUCCUUCGUGGAUAUUCAGAUAGUGACAUGGCAGGUGAUGUUGAUGACCGAAAGAGCACAACGGGCAUGGUUUUCUACCUUGGCCCGAAUCCGAUUAGUUGGAAUUCUCAGAAGCAAAAGGUGGUGGCACUGUCUUCAUGCGAGGUAGAAUACAUAGCGGCAAGCACGGCGGCUUGUCAAGCAGUGUGGCUGAGAAGACUCCUAGCUAUUCUUGCAAAGCGGGAGGUGCAGAAGGUGUCACUGAAGAUCGAUAACCAAGCUGCAAUCUCGUUGUGCAAAAAUCCGGUUCAUCACGAAAGGAGCAAGCACAUAGAUACCCGGUUCCACCAUAUCUGGGAGUGCAUUGAAGAAGGGUUGAUCGAGGUUCAACAUGUGAACACGAAAGACCAACUUGCCGAUAUUUUCACCAAGUCCCUCGGUCGACAGAAGUUCAUCGAGAUGAGGAGGAAAGUCUGAGUGCAAGAAGUGAAGUCAAGCAACAAGAUUAAGGAGGUGAAUGUAGAAGUUAAUCAUGUUGUUUCUUUAGGAUUAGGAAAGAAAGCCAAACCGAGUCCUAGUAGUAUUAGGAUUCCUAGUCCUAGUCUAUUUCCAUAGUCCCUUGUGGACGUGUAUAAAAGACACCCUAGGGGUGUUGAUUGUAACACCAGAAAAACGAAAAGCAAUAAAAAGCAAAGGCUCGACACGGGCCUUUAGCCAUCAAAUCCAUCGAUUAGUUUUAUUCGUGUUGCUAGUUACGCAAGUUCCGUCAAGUAGCCGGUCGAAGCAAGAAUCGCGUAGGCACGCCUGUACAGCUGCAUACGCACGUUCAAAAGCCAACAUUGUCAGCCUUUAUUAUGCAUGGAUGGACGGUCACUCGCUCCCUUGUUUUGAGCAGCAUGUUUUGUUCUAUAUUCUUCUCUCUUGUAGGACCCCAGUAUAUAUGCCAUCUUAUUUGACUUCAUCUGUGUUGUUCCGUGUGUUGGUUUCAUCAUUGUCCGCUCCGAUCUGAUAUGUACAAGCUGUUGUUGUUGCUGCUGUAGGUGGACAAGGAAGCCCUCAUCCCCAUGGCUGCUACUCCUUCAGGUGAACAACAAAACCCUAACGGUGACAGAGGUGGUGAGCUCCAUCGCGUGCAAAUCAGAUCUUAAUGUAGUAGCUUCCAGCAAGUUUUUCUUUCCCGCUACUCAUAACUGAAUGAACAUGUUGAUAAAAAUAUAUGCUAUAUAUAUAUAUAUGCAUCUAAAUUCGUGUAUCUUGUUGGAACCCGUACUGCAGAAAACAGAUAUUAUCCUAAAUCUUUCAAAUCUUAGGAUUUAAUUAAUUACAAGUUGUUGGAACCCCUACUGUAGAAAACUGAUAGUAUCCUAAAUCUUUCAAAAUAUUAGGAUUUAAUUAAUUGCCGCCAGAUACUGCCCACGUCAAGUUAAAUCAUGUCAUAAUAUCCUCUAAGGUGUUGUUUCGUAAACUGAACAGUAUGAACACCGGAACAAUGUUAAUAUGCUCAUACAUAAAACAACAGUAUGAACACCGGAACUGUAUGAACACCGGAACAAUGUUAAUACACCGGAACACCAGAGCAAUGUUAAUAUGGUUCUUGAAUUUAUUGUUCUGUUUUAUUGUUAGCAUAUAUUAUCCAUAUUGAGACUGAACAUGUGGCUUUUCUUAUCAUGUACAAGAGAGUUACAUGCUAAUAUUUUUGAAGAAGCUGGAAGUCCAAGUCAAUCACUUGCUUUAGAUGUUUGUUGUAAUGUCAAAUUUUCUGGGAAUAUUGACGUAUUGUUUAUCUUGCUGAGAGUUUGAUGUAUAUUUGCCUGCUAAAUUUAUUAUUCAAAUUCUAGGAUUUAUGUUCAAAUCCUUGGAAUAUUAUUCUGUGUUUCCUUGGAAUGCAUUCUUGGAUUAAAGUGGUCAAAAAGAGAAUAUAUUAGUAUUAAAUUGAGGUUGAUUCUAAGUUUGUGCUGUCAUCUGUAUUUGAAAUAAAGAGGCCUGACCCAAAUGAAACACUGGCCGAAAUGUGUAUUGGAUCAGAUAUAUUUGUGCCUUCAUAAUGCUACAGGCCAAAAAGAAUUGGAUUACAAAAAGUACAAAGUCCAACAAAUAAAUGGACCGUAAACAUCUCGAGGCCCAGAAUUGAAAUGGGCUGCAAAAAACCCAAAGCAGGCAACCAAAACUGAGAGAAAAAAAACAAUAAAUGGGCUGAAUUGUUGGGCUCGGCCCAUAUAGACACCGAACUGGACUGGGUUGAUUGUAAUCAACGACCUUUCCGUUCGGUCGCAAUUUUGCCAUGUCAGCUUGCCACGUCAGAUCCGACGUGGUGUGUGCAGAUUGCGUGCAAUCAAAAAAUUGGUCGUAGAACCAACGACCUUUCAUUUUGGUCGUUAUAGUUCAUUAGAGACCCUCAGCUUUUGACCUUCUGUUUUUGGUCGUAAAAAUGUCGUAAAUGGAAACCAACGACCAUUCGGUGACAAAUAUUGAAGGUCGUAAGUUAGCAUAUUUCUUCUAGUGCCAUCUCACCAUCCACCUAGCGGAAAGAGGCGCCACACACGUGAAUUUUUUUCCAUGUUUUUUGAUGUAUCGGAUAUUACAUGGUAUAUCCAGUUUGUUAUUGUAUGUUAGUUUUAGUAGUUAGCUCCUCAUAAUUAACUUUUCAAUAGUUUUUCAGUAUCUGAUGACUUAUGUUGUUGAACAUUGAUAACUCAGUUAGACUUUCCUCAUAGUUUAUUCCUACAUCAUUUGAUAACUAUUUUGUGCUUGUAACUUCUGUUAAAAAAUUUAUGCAGGGCACCUAGGAAACUAGAUGCUAUCAAACAAGUUAUUAUGGCUAAAGCUUCGUCCAGUGUAUCACGAACAAGGUAUUUGCAGUGCUUUCUCGUUUGCGUUUUCCUUGAACAUUAUUAUUUUUGCACUGAAUUAUUAUAUGUGUCAAUUUAAUGAAGAUAAAACGCUGGUAUUUUUUGUUCAUAUCAUCUGAUAACUUUAUAUUAUUUAAUCAUUGAUAUCUUAGUAAUAAUUUCCUCGUAGUUUUUAUGCCUGAAUCAUGUCAUAACUUUUUUGUGUUGGUAACAUCUGGUAACUUGAGUUUACCAACAUGUGUAACUUCUUCAGCACAGAGUUGAAUCCCUCACUUCUUGAUGUUGUCUACAAGAAUGGAAAAAAACGUGGAUGUAGUAUGCCAGGACCAACAUUCCGUGUUUUCCCACAUCCAAUGGAAAUGCUCGUUGUCAGUCUGGCCAUAUGUGUCCAUCAUUACCCACCAUUUGUGUUCAAACUCUUCAACUGGAUUCAAAACAGAAACAUGAUAACAUCAGGGCUUGAAUGGUGGUAACCUUAGUUCAAACAGAUUGGUAACUUAAACACUGUAAUGUUGAUAAUUCUAUCACAAACACUUGGUCAUUUUAUUUCAAGCAACAUGGUAACUACAGUGCACAUACAAUUAUUUUUUGCACGACGAAUACUUCUUGUUGUUUGUACUUCAAGCAUCAAUUUAACUAGCAAACACAACAUAUAUAUUUAUCAAUCACAUCUAGUUGGGGAUGCAAAGUUAUUUUGUGUAUGCAACAAACAUGAUAGUUUCAACACAAAAAAAUAUGCACGUAUCUUGGCUAUACUUUUGUGGUAACUUAUCACUUUUUUUACAUGGUGACUGGUGACCACAUGCAUGUGAGCUCAUUUGUGUUUAAGGUAGUUUGGGUGUGAAGUAAAAUACCGGUCAAGCUGUUGUCAACACAAUCCUUGAAUGCCUUGUUUAGUGGUUCAUCAUCAGCCAUCACCUUCCCAAGCUUCUCGUGGGCCUUCUUCAUUAUAUGUCAGCGGCAAUUCCUGUGUACUAUCCCGAUGAACACUUCGUGAAUAGCACUCCCAUUGCAAAAUAUUGAUCUGUUAUUAUGUUCUUUUGCACAACUCCACCCAUUGCAUCCAAGAAUGCAUUAAACAACCACACAAAGUUACCAGAUAGUUCAUUGUGAACAAUCCCACAACCAAACUGGAUUGACUGGCCAUGGUUAUUAAUGCCAAUGAAGGGCGCACAGGGCAUCUUGAACAUGUUUGGCAUGUAUGUUGUGUUGAAUGAGAUGAUGUCAUUGUAUCUAGCAUACACCCUGCGCGACGCACCAUCUAUCCAGAACAAAUUUUCCACUCUGUCCUCGUCGUCAAGUUUAAUUCUCCAAUAGAAAUCUGGAUCUUGUGCCUUCAAAUCUUGGAAGUAUGAGAUUGUGCUUCCCACAUCAGUGUGGCGGUACUCCAUGCGGAACUUAGCUCGCUGGUUUGCGAUGUCCUUUGUCGUGUAUGGUACAUCGUUAGGAUUCCUGUAGAAUAAUGACAUUAGUUGAAUUUGUCUUGAUGUCUCUAUGUUGCAUUUGUGCAGUAUCUUCAAGAAGUCCUACUCAUCCUUGGGAAUGUUUCUAUGUGAUGAUAGGAACUUUAUCAGGGAUGGCUUUCUGAUUAGAGGGUGGUUGUGGUUGUCGUUGAAGUGUUUUACGAUCCACCACACAUCCGUGUGCGUAAUGUAUAGGUGGGCUUGACAUUCUGUCCUCACAACCUUACCUCUUUUCCUCUUCUUCAUGAUGUCGUUUGGGUCCUGCACAUCCUGUGUCUCCUCCUUGUUAUUUUUUGGCUUGCCGUUUUCCCCACAAACCAAUAGGAAUAUCCUUAUAGUACCGUCCUUUUUUUGUUUUCCUGUAUUCCAGCCUUAUCCCAAACCCAUGCCUGAGCGCAUAUAACUUGUAGUCAUCAUAAUCUUCCUUAUAAGUGUCGAACUUCAUUGUUUCAUCAGGAGGCUUUGGUGUGGAGUAGGCCUCGGUGUUUAUGUCUCCAUGUUCAGCAUUCACCCCUCUUGUUUUUUAUCUUGCUCGCUCGCUGACUGACUGAUCAAAGAAGCUUUCUCUCCCCCUAUGCCACUAGUAGUUAGUUCUUUAUUUCGCUCUCCGACCACUGCCUUGCCUCUAGAUGUAGCACCUGUAGUGUUCUUGAAAAUGUUAGUUUGUCCGGUAAUUUGUAGAUCAAAAUUUAGUGGUAAUUUACACCCCACUGCCCUGGUAAUUUUUUCAUGUAGUAAUCUCUUGGUAGUUGUAAACUCAAACACAUGGUAAUUGUAAUGCAAAUUGCAUGAUGAUUUCGAUGUAGUGAGUGUGGUAAUUGUACCAACUUGCAUGGUAACUUUUAUGCAUUAAGUUUGUCGGUGUUUCUUUUUGUGCAAUGAUGGAUGGUAAAUGUAAUGCAUUUUUGCAUGGUAACUUGCUUGUAGUAAAUGUGGUAGUUGUAAACAACACGGAUGGUAAUUGGAAUUCUAGUUGGAUGGUAACUUCUUGUGUAUAACAAGGUGGUAGUUGUGACUAAUGCAUGGUAAAUGUUACCUUUGUCUGCAUUGUUGAUGUUGGCAGAACCAAAGCUUACCGUAGGUGCAUCCUCACAUUGCUUGUUUGUCCCCACACCACUCAUCACGAUAUCCGCAUUACCCCCGUUGUCUUGCACCAUUUUGUGUGGCAACACCUGUUAGCACAUAUAAUCAUCCAUUAAUUCAACACUUACAAGCAAUAUUGGUUAUUUCUUCACAGCAAUUAUCAUUUUCUUUUUUUGCACUGAUUACUUCAUUUUUAUAACAUGUAUCACUUGAGAAGUGACCAGCACAUGAGCAUAUGACAACGAUAGUAUCUACAACCUCAUUUCAUCAACAUCGUGUCUUAUCACUCAGUUCUGAUUGCAACAAUGUAAAUCGACACAUGGUAUUCUUGUAGUGUUAGCGCCCUAGUUUUGUGUACAUCCAUGGGCUGAUAACUAGUACGUAUAGAGUUUUUCUGGUAAAUUCUUCUGAAUUAGGAUGAUAACUUUUUUCUUUCCUCGGUUGGUGUGCCCUGUUUGUUAUUGACAUGCAAUAAUGGUUCGUAUCGUGAAUAAAAACAGAUGUUUUUUUUACAGUGAAUAAGUGUUAAAGGAUGUUUUUUUCAAAUUUUAUUCUUCUUUUUAGUGAUAGCUUUGUGCAUACAUUAUGGUAAUCUCUAUUGAUUUUAAAUGGUAAAUCAAUUAUUAAUGAGAAAUUUUAAACAUGUUGUUUUAACUGGCUACGAAAAAAGAUAGUUCAACACAAUCUUGAUGGUAACCUAUGUGUGUUCGAGUGGUAACUCAAUGAAGAGGGAUGUAAAAAUAGAUGUAUGAUGUGUAGGCUAGGAAAUAAGCUCUAUUCUACCAACUUUUGGGCUUUUAAAAGGCAUCUUAAAGCAAUCUUUAUGGUAACUUGUACGGAUUUGAAUGGUAACUCAAUCAUGAGUGAGGAGUUCAACACAUGUAGGAUUUGUAGGCCAGUAAAAGGGCUAUCUUUUUAUCUCAUGUAUUUGCCUUGAUUUUCUUGGUAUGAAAUGAAAAUGAAGCAUUGUAGAUGGAGUUUGAAUCACUUACUUCUUUGGUUUUCUUCUUGAUUCUGGUGAAAAUCAGACAAACUAGGUAAUUAGCGUUGUAGUAUGUGGUAAUUCUGGUAUUGAUAAAGUGGUAAUCCCGGAUGUCCCUCAAAUCCUUGUGUAUGGGGGAUUAGUUGUCCUGGUAUGGUUGAUGUGUUUUUGGUGGAUCAGAUUGGGGAAGCAGCCCGUCGGCGAUGGAGGCACGUCAGGGAGGGAGGAGGAGAACGGAUUGGGGAAGGAUUCUCGUAGGGUUGGCGUGGUAAUUAUUGCGGGGGUAAGGGUUGUCUUGGGCCUCAUGCGAUGCGCGCGCCCUCGCAUGGAUGGGCCUCGCGAGCGGGGUGCCUCAUGUUCAUGGAGGGAGAAUCGUGCGGAUGUAUCCCUUACACACCGACCGGUUGGUGGUUAGCACAAUCCAUCAUAUAAUUAAUGUGUAUUAGUAGUCUCUUGUUGUUGCGGUUUUUGCAAUGAGGACAUUGUUUCCCAAUAUAUAUUGCACUACUGGUAACUUGUAUUUUUGACAUCAGGUGUGAUUCAAUUUUUAAUAUUUCCCCAUUAUGCCUACUAUUUUUAGAUGGUUGAACCUCGUGGGCUUGGUGAUGUUGAGAUGACUGAAGAGCAGAGGCGAGUUUAUUUGGAAGAAGAAAUAAAGAAUGAGGAGUAGGAAAAUUAAAAGAAGGAGAUGUAAGAACGACCUAGAAAAAGGUAGAUGAAAAAAAGUUAACAGAUGUGGGAUCACUUUUCUAUGUGUUAUGUUUUAAAGUGUAAUAAUAUGGUUGUGUAACUUGUGUUUGGUUGAACUUGUACUUUGGUUAUGUGUUGUGCUCGGACUUGGACUUUGGUUUUGUAUUGGAGUUCUAUUACUAUAUUCUCACUUAUUAGUGUGGGUUUUAUAAGUUGAUUGGUUAUGCAUCUCUCACUUUUAUGAAAUCCUUGUAUCUGAUAUUAUGUGAUAUUUGACAAGAUAUGAAUAUGUUCCACUUCUAUGCAUUUUCCAAUUUUGUGUUGUUAUAUUGCCAAACAAAUUGUUUACAAUAUGCUUGUUUAUAUGCUCUGAAAGUACAUUAUAUGUAGUCCAAUUUUAGUGCCAAAUUCGGUUUCCAAUUUUGCAAACCGAAUUCACAAAAAAACAGGGGGGGGGAAAACCAAAAUUUUGGUUUCUACUCACCGCCCAUGCCUAAUUGCUAGUAGUGUUGAUUACAUCUUGUAGUUGAUGCUAGGUUGUUUAUUU
rnacentral:lncRNA from 1 species